GGAGAUGUAGCUCAGAUGGUAGAGCGCUCGCUUAGCAUGCGAGAAGUACGGGGAUCGAUACCCUGCAUCUCCA
rfam:Daphnia pulex DAPPTscaffold_261_Cont7993, whole genome shotgun sequence.